GAUGAACGCUGGCGGCGUGCCUAAUACAUGCAAGUCGAGCGAACAGAUAAGGAGCUUGCUCCUUUGACGUUAGCGGCGGACGGGUGAGUAACACGUGGAUAACCUACCUAUAAGACUGGGAUAACUUCGGGAAACCGGAGCUAAUACCGGACAACAUAUUGAACCGCAUGGUUCAAUAGUGAAAGGCGGCUUUGCUGUCACUUAUAGAUGGAUCCGCGCCGUAUUAGCUAGUUGGUAAGGUAACGGCUUACCAAGGCAACGAUACGUAGCCGACCUGAGAGGGUGAUCGGCCACACUGGAACUGAGACACGGUCCAGACUCCUACGGGAGGCAGCAGUAGGGAAUCUUCCGCAAUGGGCGAAAGCCUGACGGAGCAACGCCGCGUGAGUGAUGAAGGUCUUCGGAUCGUAAAACUCUGUUAUCAGGGAAGAACAAAUGUGUAAGUAACUGUGCACAUCUUGACGGUACCUGAUCAGAAAGCCACGGCUAACUACGUG
rnacentral:rRNA from 1 species